UACGUAGGGACCAAGCGUUGUUCGGAUUUACUGGGCGUAAAGGGCGCGUAGGCGGCAUGACAAGUCACUUGUGAAAUCUUCGGGCUUAACCCGGAACGGCCAAGUGAUACUGUCGCGCUAGAGUGCAGAAGGGGCAAUCGGAAUUCUCGGUGUAGCGGUGAAAUGCGUAGAUAUCGAGAGGAACACCAGAGGUGAAGACGGGUUGCUGGGCUGACACUGACGCUGAGGCGCGAAAGCCAGGGGAGCAAACGGG
rnacentral:rRNA from 1 species